rnacentral:rRNA from 1 species
GGCAGGCUUAACACAUGCAAGUCGAGCGGAGAGAGGUAGCUUGCUACUGAUCUUAGCGGCGGACGGGUGAGUAAUGCUUAGGAAUCUGCCUAUUAGUGGGGGACAACAUUUCGAAAGGAAUGCUAAUACCGCAUACGUCCUACGGGAGAAAGCAGGGGAUCUUCGGACCUUGCGCUAAUAGAUGAGCCUAAGUCGGAUUAGCUAGUUGGUGGGGUAAAGGCCUACCAAGGCGACGAUCUGUAGCGGGUCUGAGAGGAUGAUCCGCCACACUGGGACUGAGACACGGCCCAGACUCCUACGGGAGGCAGCAGUGGGGAAUAUUGGACAAUGGGCGCAAGCCUGAUCCAGCCAUGCCGCGUGUGUGAAGAAGGCCUUAUGGUUGUAAAGCACUUUAAGCGAGGAGGAGGCUACUUUAGUUAAUACCUAGAGAUAGUGGACGUUACUCGCAGAAUAAGCACCGGCUAACUCUGUGCCAGCAGCCGCGGUAAUACAGAGGGUGCAAGCGUUAAUCGGAUUUACUGGGCGUAAAGCGCGCGUAGGCGGCUAAUUAAGUCAAAUGUGAAAUCCCCGAGCUUAACUUGGGAAUUGCAUUCGAUACUGGUUAGCUAGAGUGUGGGAGAGGAUGGUAGAAUUCCAGGUGUAGCGGUGAAAUGCGUAGAGAUCUGGAGGAAUACCGAUGGCGAA